ensembl:processed_transcript B130055M24Rik RIKEN cDNA B130055M24 gene
GAUUGGGCCGGGCCUCACCGAGCGCGCCCAGGAGGCCGUAGGUCUCGCGCAUCACAUCCCGGUACAGAGUCCUCUGAGCGGGCUGCAGACACCCCCACUCCUCCGAGGAGAAGUACACGGCCACGUCCACGAACUUCAAGGCCCUUGGCCUCCUGCCCCUUUUCCGAGUAGGUCCAGCCUCUCCGACUGCCCGCAGGAGAAGCGGAGCCGAAGGUGGCGCCAUCGGACCUGCUCCCCGGCCUUGCCACGGGGACCCGGAGACCUAGAAGCUCCGUCGGGAAGGCCCGGAGGAAAUCUGAAUCGGCUGCCUGAGGGGCCGGGCGGCCCGACACAGACCGUUAUUCAGGGAACUCCCGCUGGAACUUGGGUGAGAGGCACCGGAAGAUGCCUUCGGGGAAGAUGGCGGCGCUGCUCCUGCACCACCGCUGCCUAGAACACAGGCAGGUUCCAGCUAUCGAUUUUAUUGACCCGAACGCCAUGCCGACUUCUUAACCUCCUUGCCCUAAAGUGUAAUGGCGCUGCGAGAUGGCUUCUUGCCUACUUUCCUCCUAUCUAUUGCAUUCGUUUAUUGGUUGGUAGCUGAAGAUCGGGCGUUCUGAUUGGUCAUCAAUGAAGGCGGCCCAUUUGAAUGAAGCCAACGGAUUCUUAAGGGCAAGAAGGUGGAUCCUGUGUCUCUAAGCCGGUUGUGAGAAGUCUUAUGAAUGGGAGGCUUUUCUUGUGUUCUCCAACGCUUGUUUGCCCUACUUGGAGAAGACGUUUCUACAGGUCUUCCAAAGGGAAAGUCACACAGUGACAACAUGGAUUUUUGAAUGCUCCUACGAUCAUAAAGGUGUCACAGCCAGGAAUUCUGAAAAGUACUAGAUGAGAAGGGAGCGGUGGUAAGGAUCUGGUGCACAAAAGGCGCGUCUGGUAAAAUUGAAUGACUAGAAUGAUGUGAGCCUAGCUAAUGUACCAGCAAUCAGCCUAUGACCUCAUUUGCCAAGACUGGUGGGAAAGGCUUCUCAUCGACUCCUUGAGCUGUGUGUGGCCACCGUGUGACUUUCCUAGAAGAAGCCACAGUCCUUUCAGGUGUGCGUUAUGAUUUUCCUGGGUGCCUUUCUCUUUAUAAACAUCAACUCUCCACACUGGCUUACUCUG